rnacentral:rRNA from 1 species
CGUGUUGUGAAAUGUUGGGUUAAGUCCCGCAACGAGCGCAACCCUUAUCCUUGUUUGCCAGCGAGUAAUGUCGGGAACUCCAGGGAGACUGCCGGUGAUAAACCGGAGGAAGGUGGGGACGACGUCAAGUCAUCAUGGCCCUUACGAGUAGGGCUACACACGUGCUACAAUGGCGCAUACAGAGGGCGGCCAACUUGCGAAAGUGAGCGAAUCCCAAAAAGUGCGUCGUAGUCCGGA